CCUACGGGAGGCAGCAGCCGCGGUAAUACAGAGGAUGCAAGCGUUAUCCGGAAUCACUGGGCAUAAAGCGUCUGUAGGUUGCUUGCCAAGUCUGCUGUUAAAGACUAGGGCCUAACCCUGGGAAAGCAGUGGAAACUAGCAGGCUUGAGUGUGGUAGAGGUAGAGGGAAUUCCUGGUGUAGCGGUGAAAUGCGUAGAUAUUAGGAAGAACACCAAUGGCGAAAGCACUCUGCUGGGCCACAACUGACACUGAGAGACGACAGCUAGGGGAGCAAAUGGGAUUAGAUACCCCAGUAGUCCUAGCCGUAAACGAUGGAUACUAGGUGUUGCACGUAUUAACCCGUGCAGUAUCGUAGCUAAGGCGUUAAGUAUCCCGCCUGGGAAGUACGCUCGCAAGAGUGAAACUCAAAUGAAUUGACGG
rnacentral:rRNA from 1 species